rnacentral:lncRNA from 1 species
AGUGACCCCACCUAACUUCAUUGUUGAUGGAACUCUCUGAACUUGGAAUCCAGGUAGCUAGGCACCCAGAGCCACACACAGUCCCAGUCUGCUUACUUGUUUGGACUCAACAAGUGCAGAGUUAUACUUUCUUGAUAUCUACUGAUCUGUGGAUUGGCAAAUUCCAGAAAAGCCCAGGAAGGGCCCUUUCCUGAGAAUGAAAGUACUUGAUCAUCACUGGGUCAUGGCAACUUCAGUGAGUUUUCCCAAGGAGACCAGAGGUGAGACAGGACAGGCCAUUGCAGGUGAUC